rnacentral:rRNA from 1 species
AGGUUGUGGCCUUGAGCCGUGGCUUUCGGAGCUAACGCGUUAAGUAGACCGCCUGGGGAGUACGGUCGCAAGAUUAAAACUCAAAUGAAUUGACGGGGGCCCGCACAAGCGGUGGAGCAUGUGGUUUAAUUCGAUGCAACGCGAAGAACCUUACCUACUCUUGACAUCCAGAGAACUUUCCAGAGAUGGAUUGGUGCCUUCGGGAACUCUGAGACAGGUGCUGCAUGGCUGUCGUCAGCUCGUGUUGUGAAAUGUUGGGUUAAGUCCCGCAACGAGCGCAACCCUUAUCCUUGUUUGCCAGCGAGUAAUGUCGGGAACUCCAGGGAGACUGCCGGUGAUAAACCGGAGGAAGGUGGGGACGACGUCAAGUCAUCAUGGCCCUUACGAGUAGGGCUACACACGUGCUACAAUGGCGCAUACAGAGGGCAGCAAGCUAGCGAUAGUGAGC